AUGAUCGACUUCUUCCAAUGGUGGUCGGAGGCCAUACAACAAUCUCUGUCAGCCUUGCGCAAGGGUUUGGCAUCCGUCAUCAUUCUCACGCCUUGAGAGACUUGGAAGCACUGGAAUACUGUCAUCUUCCAUGGCGCAUGACCAUCUACUACCGUACUCGUCAAAGUCAUCAAGGAUGAGGCAAGACAUUGGGCUGCCACCGGCGCUAAAGGGCUAGACAGGACGCUGUAUGUAAACCGACACUUUGUUGAUCUGGGUCUGAGCAAAUCCUCUCACUGGUACAUAGCAUCCUCGGAGACGCCUAACUCGAAAAUAUAUUUUAGAGCACCUACACCCAGACCCCUCUUAUCUAGCCAUCCAUUCUUUGCAUCAAAAUCUGUGCAAGUACAUUUCUCUUUUUUGUUUCUCUCACAUAAAACAUGUCUUCAAAUUCAAACCUUUGCAGAACAGUAA
rnacentral:rRNA from 1 species